rnacentral:rRNA from 1 species
UACGUAGGGUGCAAGCGUUGCCCGGAUUUAUUGGGCGUAAAGGGCGCGUAGGCGGCCGAGCAAGUCAUGCGUGAAAUCUCCCGGCUCAACUGGGAGGGGUCGUGUGAUACUGCUUGGCUUGAGCAAGGUAGGGGGCAGUGGAAUUCCCGGUGUAGUGGUGGAAUGCGUAGAUAUCGGAGGAACACCAGUGGCGAAGGCGGCCUACUGGGCCGGACCUGACGCUGAGACGCGAAGGCGUGGGGAGCGAACGGG